rnacentral:rRNA from 1 species
AGUGGCGGACGGGUGAGUAACGCGUAAGAAUCUAACUUCAGGACGGGGACAACAGUUGGAAACGACUGCUAAUACCCGAUGUGCCGCAAGGUGAAACCUAAUUGGCCUGGAGAAGAGCUUGCGUCUGAUUAGCUAGUUGGUGGGGUAAAGGCCUACCAAGGCGACGAUCAGUAGCUGGUCUGAGAGGAUGAGCAGCCACACUGGGACUGAGACACGGCCCAGACUCCUACGGGAGACAGCAGUGGGGAAUUUUCCGCAAUGGGCGAAAGCCUGACGGAGCAACGCCGCGUGAGGGAGGAAGGUCUUUGGAUUGUAAACCUCUUUUCUCAAGGAAGAAGUUCUGACGGUACUUGAGGAAUCAGCCUCGGCUAACUCCGUGCCAGCAGCCGCGGUAAUACGGGGGAGGCAAGCGUUAUCCGGAAUUAUUGGGCGUAAAGCGUCCGCAGGUGGCCAGCCAAGUCUGCCGUCAAAUCAGGUUGCUUAACGACCUAAAGGCGGUGGAAACUGGCAGACUAGAGAGCAGUAGGGGUAGCAGGAAUUCCCAGUGUAGCGGUGAAAUGCGUAGAGAUUGGGAAGAACAUCGGUGGCGAAAGCGUGCUACUGGGCUGUAUCUGACACUCAGGGACGAAAGCUAGGGGAGCGAAAGGGAUUGGAUACCCCUGUAGUCCUAGCCGUAAACGAUGGAUACUAGGCGUGGCUU